rnacentral:rRNA from 1 species
AUACGGAGGAUGCAAGCGUUAUCCGGAUUUAUUGGGUUUAAAGGGUGCGUAGGCGGAUGAUUAAGCGUGAGGUGAAAUGCCGCUGCUCAACAGUGGAACUGCCUCGCGAACUGGUUGUCUUGAAUGCUCCUGCCGUGGGAGGAAUGUGUGGUGUAGCGGUGAAAUGCAUAGAGAUCACACAGAACACCGAUUGCGUAGGCUUCUAACGAAGGAGUUAUAAACGCUGAGGCUCGAAAGCGUAGGGAUCAAACAGGAAUAGAUAGCCUGGUAGUCCUCGCAGUAAACGAUGAUAACUAACCGCUGAGUCUGAGUGAUUCAGUGGCCUAGCGAAAGCUAUAAGUUAUCCACCUGGGGAGUACGACCGCAAGGUUGAAACUCAAAGGAAUUGACGGGG